GAUGAACGCUGGCGGCGUGCCUAAUACAUGCAAGUCGAGCGAACGGACGAGAAGCUUGCGCCUCUGAUGGUAGCGGCCGACGGGAGAUUAACACGUGGAUAACCUACCUAUAAGACUGGGAUAACUACGCGAAACCGGAUCUAAUACCGGAUAAUAUUUUGAACCGCAUGGUUCAAAAGUUAAAGACGGUCUUGCUGUCACUUAUAGAUGGAUCCGCGCUGCAUGAGCUAGUUGGCAAGGUAACGGCUUACCAAGGCAACGAUGGAUAGACGACCUCAGAGCGUGGUCGGCCACCCUGGCAGUGAGACACGGCACACACUCCUACGCGAGGCAGCAGUAGGGAAUCCUCCGCAAUGGGCGAGAGCCUAACAGAGCAAAGCCGCGUGAGGGAUGAAGGUCUUCGGAUCGUAAAGCUAUGUUGGUAGGGAAGUUGAAAUGUGUAUGUAACAGUGAACAUCUUGACGGUACCUAGUCAAAAAGCCCCGGCUAACUACGUG
rnacentral:rRNA from 1 species